rnacentral:rRNA from 1 species
CCUACGGGUGACAGCAGUGAGGAAUAUUGGUCAAUGGACGGAAGUCUGAACCAGCCAAGCCGCGUGCAGGAAGAAGGUACUUUGUGUUGUAAACUUCUUUUGUAGAAGGGCAAACCCGAAUACGCGUAUCCGGCUGAGUGUACCCUACGAAUAAGGAUCGGCUAACUCCGUGCCAGCAGCCGCGGUAAUACGGAGGAUCCGAGCGUUAUCCGGAUUUAUUGGGUUUAAGGGGUGCGCAGGCGGGAGAUCAAGUCGGCGGUAAAAUGUCGGGGCUCAACCCGGGCCUGCCGUUGAAACUGUUGGUCUAGAGAGGGAGAGAAGUAGGCGGAAUGUGUGGUGUAGCGGUGAAAUGCUUAGAUAUCACACAGAACUCCGAUUGCGAAGGCAGCAUACC